UACGAAGGGGGCUAGCGUUGCUCGGAAUCACUGGGCGUAAAGCGCACGUAGGCGGACUCUUAAGUCGGUGGUGAAAUCCUGGAGCUCAACUCCAGAACUGCCUUCGAUACUGGGAGUCUCGAGUUCGGGAGAGGUGAGUGGAACUGCGAGUGUAGAGGUGAAAUUCGUAGAUAUUCGCAAGAACACCAGUGGCGAAAGGCGGCU
rnacentral:rRNA from 1 species